UUUGGUUGGGGAUGGGCUCGCGGCCUAUCAGCUUGUUGGUGAGGUAAUGGCUCACCAAGGCGUCGACGGGUAGCCGGCCUGAGAGGGUGACCGGCCACACUGGGACUGAGACACGGCCCAGACUCCUACGGGAGGCAGCAGUGGGGAAUAUUGCACAAUGGGCGGAAGCCUGAUGCAGCAACGCCGCGUGAGGGAUGACGGCCUUCGGGUUGUAAACCUCUUUUAGCAGGGAAGAAGCGAAAGUGACGGUACCUGCAGAAAAAGCACCGGCUAACUACGUGCCAGCAGCCGCGGUAAUACGUAGGGUGCAAGCGUUAUCCGGAAUUAUUGGGCGUAAAGAGCUCGUAGGCGGUUUGUCGCGUCUGCUGUGAAAUCCCGAGGCUCAACCUCGGGUCUGCAGUGGGUACGGGCAGACUAGAGUGCGGUAGGGGAGAUUGGAAUUCCUGGUGUAGCGGUGGAAUGCGCAGAUAUCAGGAGGAACACCGAUGGCGAAGGCAGAUCUCUGGGCCGUAACUGACGCUGAGGAGCGAAAGGGUGGGGAGCAAACAGGCUUAGAUACCCUGGUAGUCCACCCCGUAAACGUUGGGAACUAGUUG
rnacentral:rRNA from 1 species